AUUGAACGCUGGCGGCAUGCUUUACACAUGCAAGUCGAACGGUAACAGGCCGCAAGGUGCUGACGAGUGGCGAACGGGUGAGUAAUGCAUCGGAACGUGCCCAGUCGUGGGGGAUAACGCAGCGAAAGCUGUGCUAAUACCGCAUACGAUCCAUGGAUGAAAGCGGGGGACCGUAAGGCCUCGCGCGAUUGGAGCGGCCGGUGUCAGAUUAGCUAGUUGGUGGGGUAAAGGCCCACCAAGGCGACGACCUGUAGCUGGUCUGAGAGGACGACCAGCCACACUGGGACUGAGACACGGCCCAGACUCCUACGGGAGGCAGCAGUGGGGAAUUUUGGGCAAUGGGCGCAAGCCUGAUCCAGCAAUGCCGCGUGCAGGAAGAAGGCCUUCGGGUUGUAAACUGCUUUUGUACGGAACGAAACGGUCUGGGUUAAUACCCUGGGCUAAUGACGGUACCGUAAGAAUAAGCACCGGCUAACUACGUGCCAGCCGCCGCGGUAA
rnacentral:rRNA from 1 species